CAAUAGCGUAUAUUUAAGUUGCUGCAGUUAAAAAGCUCGUAGUUGGAUUUCGGGUGGGAAUGGCCGGUCCGCCGUUUCGGUGUGCACUUGCUACGCCCACCUUGCUGCCGGGGACGUGCUCUUGAGUUCACGCUCGGGACACGGAAUCGGCGAGGUUACUUUGAGUAAAUUAGAGUGUUCAAAGCAGGCCUACGCUCUGAAUACAUUAGCAUGGAAUAACACGAUAGGACUCUGGCCUAUCUUGUUGGUCUGUAGGACCGGAGUAAUGAUUAAGAGGGACAGUCGGGGGCAUUCGUAUUUCAUUGUCAGAGGUGAAAUUCUUGGAUUUAUGAAAGACGAACUACUGCGAAAGCAUUUGCCAAGGAUGUUUUCAUUAA
rnacentral:rRNA from 1 species